rnacentral:rRNA from 1 species
AACGAACGCUGGCGGCAUGCCUAACACAUGCAAGUCGAACGAGACCUUCGGGUCUAGUGGCGCACGGGUGCGUAACGCGUGGGAAUCUGCCCUUGGGUUCGGGAUAACAGUUGGAAACGACUGCUAAUACCGGAUGAUGACUUCGGUCCAAAGAUUUAUCGCCCAGGGAUGAGCCCGCGUCGGAUUAGCUAGUUGGUGGGGUAAAGGCCUACCAAGGCGACGAUCCGUAGCUGGUCUGAGAGGAUGAUCAGCCACACUGGGACUGAGACACGGCCCAGACUCCUACGGGAGGCAGCAGUGGGGAAUAUUGGACAAUGGGCGAAAGCCUGAUCCAGCAAUGCCGCGUGAGUGAUGAAGGCCUUAGGGUUGUAAAGCUCUUUUACCCGGGAUGAUAAUGACAGUACCGGGAGAAUAAGCCCCGGCUAACUCCGUGCCAGCCGCCGCCGUAAAAC